rnacentral:rRNA from 1 species
CCUACGGGAGGCAGCAGUAGGGAAUAUUGGACAAUGGGCGAAAGCCUGAUCCAGCAAUGCCGCGUGAGUGAUGAAGGCCUUAGGGUUGUAAAGCUCUUUUACCCGAGAUGAUAAUGACAGUACCGGGAGAAUAAGCUCCGGCUAACUCCGUGCCAGCAGCCGCGGUAAU